GCCUUAGCCAGCGCCAGGCCGCAGCAGCCCCGGGGAAGGGGUGCGAGAGGCCUCGGCCAGCCGUCGUGCCCUCCUCCCACCCGUAGCCCCGCGAUCACAUCCAAGUGGCGGAAGGAAGACGAGGAUAAAAAAGACCGAGGCGGCAGCGGAGUCUUCCGCGUACCGCUGCCUCGCCUACCCCUGAGCUGGGCUGGUCCCGCCCUCCCCCCAUUCCACGCACUCCCCUGCCCUGGACCUCGUCGGCCUCCGUCCGUCUCCCCAGGUGAACGCAUAUCCCUCCGCUGCGGCCGCCCCUGCCGCUGGGUUCGUAGCCUCACAGUCCCCGGAUGGAAGCUGUUAUGGCCGCCAACAGCGACUCGACGGCUUAUGGCGAAGGGCGAGAACUUUUUUCAAUAUUUCUCCCGACUGUGGCCUUUUCUGAGCCUUACAUAUUUACCUCUUCUGUGUAUGUGGAAAAGCGUUAAAAAGGCUGAAGAAUUGAAGUCUUUUCUUUAUGUGAGAAUGAAAUGGGGAAGUUCUAGAACCUUGAGAAUAAAUCUGCACAGUAGUCUUUUCUGCUGCAGGAACUAAGUCUAAUCUCAAGAAAUCCUUUAAA
rnacentral:lncRNA from 1 species